rnacentral:misc_RNA from 1 species
GUGAAUCAUCGAAUCUUUGAACGCAAAUUGCACUUUCUGGUAUUCCGGAAAGUAUGUCUGUUUGAGGGUCAGUUAAAUAAACAUCGGUGUUGUUGCUGUCUUUCGUGGUGACGCGUCGGAUUUGAGUCGUCUUUCCUUCGGUUAAGCUUUUUAAAAUUUUUGCAUGAUUUUCGAACGUAUUUAAAUUUCUUAGGUACGUUUGCGAUUUCGAAUACUUUAUUAGGUUCGGUCA